AUGGGUGGCGAGAGAGGUAGUGGUUUGGUUCCUCGACACGGCAAGAGGCCAGAUCUGCAACGAGCAAGCCCCCCGCUGUUCAUCAGUACUUCUCGUCUCCCCCUCUGUUUGUCAUCUUAUCUUACGUGCGGGGUUAGGUGGGUGCUCGAGCUCGACGGUUGCGAGGCCACCACUUUCGUCGUCUUUGCUCGUCUCGUCCCCGUCUCCAUCUCAUCAUGGAUCCAGCCUGUAAAUCAUUUUGGCUCCGGGACUAAAAAUAGAGGCGUCACGGAGAAGGAGCCAAGGAGGAUCAACAGAAUAAAGCUCGGCUCUUUUUGUGUUUUGUGCCGGGCUGUUGGCUGGAGAUCUAGCGGUAUUUGGGUUGGUUUUCCGGUGGAAGCAACACGACAGCAAUACCUGCGUCCGGAGAACUACAUUUUCAACAGCACAUAG
rnacentral:rRNA from 1 species